rnacentral:rRNA from 1 species
CGAACGGCUCAUUACAACAGCUAUAAUUUACUUGAUCUUGACAUCCUACUUGGAUAACUGUGGUAAUUCUAGAGCUAAUACAUGCACCAAAGCUCCAACCCGAAAGGGAAGAGCGCAUUUAUUAGAACAAAACCAUGCGGCUUCGGCCGCUCAAUGUUGACUCAGAAUAACUAAGCUGAUCGCAUGGUCUUGUACCGGCGACGUGUCUUUCAAGUAUCUGCCUUAUCAACUUUCGAUGGUACUGUCAUUGACUACCAUGGUGGUGACGGGUAACGGAGGAUCAGGGUUCGACUCCGGAGAAGGGGCCUGAGAAAUGGCCACUACGUCUAAGGAUGGCAGCAGGCGCGCAAAUUACCCACUCUCAGAACAGCUAGAGGAGGUAGUGACGAGAAAUAACGAGACCGUUCUCAACAGAGGCCGGUCAUCGGAAUGGGUACAAUUUAAACCCUUUAACGAGUAUCUAUGAGAGGGCAAGUCUGGUGCCAGCAGCCGCGGUAAUUCCAGCUCUCAAAAUGCAUAGAAUUAUUGCUGCGGUUAAAAAGCUCGUAGUUGGAUCUGUGCCGGCAGAUUGGUCCAUCUUCGGAUGCGUACUGGUUAUUGCCGGCUUUCCUGCAGUUUUGCGGCCUGUGCCCUUCACGGGUGCAGUGUUCGUUACUGCAAGUUUACUUUGAACAAAUCAGAGUGCUCUAAACAGGCGUUUCGCUUGAAUGUUCGUGCAUGGAAUAAUAGAAGAGGAUUUCGGUUCUAUUUUAUUGGUUUUAUAGACUGAGAUAAUGGU